GCUCCGAGUUGAUCCUGGUGUGAGAGCGUGCAGGCUGUGCUGGCCCUGAUUAAUUUAUCUCAGUUCAAUAAACACUUGAUCAUUACCUGCUAGGUUCUGGGCCCUGGGACAUUUGGAGCAGCCCAAGCCCACUUCUGAUCUCAAGGAUCAAACAGUCUACUUGGGUAGGUAAACAUGGAAACAUAAAUGUAAUGUAUAUACUAUGUAGGUAACUUGAGAGGGGCUGGGUGGUCAGAGAAGGUGUCACAGAAGAGAUUAUAGCUGAACAGGGUUCAGAGGAUUUAUAGGAGUUUGUCAAGUGGGCUAGAUGGAAGGAAAGACUUUCUGGAUGGAAGGAACAGCAACUUCAAAGUGAGAGAGAAAUGAAAAAGCAUGGCUUGUGUAAAGCACUGAAAUCAGUCAUAUAUCGUUGGGGCAUUGUGUGCGUGCAUGCGCGCGCGCGCGUGUGUGUGAGUGUGUGUAUGUUAUAGGGAUGGGCAGUAGCAGAAGGUGAGAUGCAACCACAAGCAGGCACAAGAUUUCAGUAGUCAUUAAAUGACACAGGUUUACUCCUGAGGCAAAUGUGGAAUCCAGAGAACAAGUGAUAGAUAGGUGGCAAUGCGUUAGAGUUAGGGGUGGGGACAGCGAGCAGGGGGUGAUUGGGGUUAUAUGUUGAGUCAGGCAUGUCUCCUAAGUUUUUGACUAGAGUUGGUGCCAUUUACUGGGAUGGAGAUAUUGGCAGGGGAGCAAGCUUAAAGGCAUUUUAGAAUCAAGAGUUGCUUUGACAUGAGUCAGAGAAGUUCACAAAUUAAUUGCUUUCUUUCAGAGCUUAACUGACCUUCACAGAAACCCUGCAGAGACUCAUCUUCAGCAAAAACCUCCCAUACAGUGAAGCCCACCAGUUCUCCUGUAAAGGCAGACGGCAUAAGUUUGGGUUUUUGCCUUAAAUUCUGCCUCGUUUUCCUUGCCAAUGUUGAAGAGAAUGGAUCAAAUUUCCCAUGUUCAGUUGGAAGAGCAGUGGCAGGAAGAAAAGUUACAGGUGGGCCGACUAGACCAGAGAGCGUGGCGUGAUUCGCUCAAGGCCACGCGAAGGCAGUGUGACGUCAUCACAAGGGCUCACGAUGAGAGCCGAAACGUUUGUUUUCAAAUCUUGCCUCUUCCCCAGUUCUCUGUAACCUUUGUAAAUUUAUAUUUUCAUUUAAAAUAUCUUUUGAUCCGUUACUCUAGUCCAACUUUUGUGGUUUGUUCUAAGAGGAAGU
rnacentral:lncRNA from 1 species